rnacentral:sRNA from 1 species
GCCUGCCGCCAGAGGUCUAAACUUACAACCAAUUUUUUAUUAACUUGUCACACCAGAUUAUUACUUAAUAGUCAAAACUUUCAACAACGGAUCUCUUGGUUCUCGCAUCGAUGAAGAACGCAGCGAAAUGCGAUACGUAAUAUGAAUUGCAGAUAUUCGUGAAUCAUCGAAUCUUUGAACGCACAUUGCGCCCUCUGGUAUUCCGGAGGGCAUGCCUGUUUGAGCGUCGUUUCUCCCUCAAACCGCUGGGUUUGGUGUUGAGCAAUACGACUUGGGUUUGCUUGAAAGACGGUAGUGGUAAGGCGGGAUCGCUUUGACAAUGGCUUAGGUCUAACCAAAAACAUUGCUUGCGGCGGUAACGUCCACCACGUAUAUCUUCAAACUUUGACCUCAAAUCAGGUAGGACUACCCGCUGAACUUAAGCAUAUCAAUAAGCGGAGGAA